AAUACAUUUUUUGCUAAGAAUGGUUAUCGAUUAAUGGAUUCCAGUAUGUAUAGUCAGCCCAUUCAUACACAAGCACAGUAUGCCUCGCCAGUCUUUAUGCAGCCUGUAUAUAAUCCUCAUCAACAGUACUCGGUCUAUAGUAUUGUGCCUCAGUCUUGGUCUCCAAAUCCUGCACCUUACUUUGAAACACCACUGGCUCCCUUUCCCAAUGGUAGUUUUAUGAAUGGCUUUAAUUCACCAGGAUCUUAUAAAACAAAUGCUGCUGCUAUGAAUCUGGGUUGACCAUUCCAAAAAAAUCAUGUGAAGCCUCAUUUUAGGUCAUCCAGUGGUUCAGAACACUCAACAGAGGGCUCUGUGUCGUUGGGGGAUGGACAGUUGAACAGAUCCAGUUCAAGGAACUUUCCAACUGAACGGCAUAACCCUACAGUAGCAGGGCAUCAGGAGCAAACUUACCUUACAAAGGAAUCUCCCACUUUGCAGAUGGAACAGAAUGGGGACUAUGGUAGGGGCAGGAGAACUCUCUUCAGAGGUCGAAGACGACGAGAAGAUGAUAGGAUCCCAAGACCCCAUCCUUCAACAGCUGAAGCAAAGGCUCCAACACCAAAGUUUGACUUACUAGCCACAAAUUUUCCUCCUUUACCUGGAAGUUCAUCAAGAAUGCCAGGUGAACUUGUUUUGGAGAAUAGGAUGUCUGAUGUUGUUAAAGGUGUCUACAAAGAAAAGGAUAGUGAAGAGCUGAGAGUUAGUUGCCCAGUGCCUGCAGAAGAUGAGCAGACAGACUGCACUUCUGCCCAGCAGCUCAGUAUGAGUACCAGUCCUCCAUGUGCAGCUGAGCUUCCUACAUUAAGCACAACUCAGCAAGAAAAGGAUUUAAUAGAGGAUUCUACUGUUCAGAAGGAUGUUCUCAACGAGAUAACUAUACCAGUUUCUUCCCCAACUACUGCGAAGCCAUCAAGGGCAAAUACUGCGUCACCAUGUAAUAGUAACAUAAAUGCAGCUGUAGCUGUGUCCCUACAGGACCCCGAAAGUUAAGCUAUGCUGAGGCGUGCCAGAAGCCCCUAAAGACCCAUCUUCAGUUCUUGUGCAGCCACUACGGGAACUUCGCUCCAAUGUAGUGUCUCUCACCAAAAAUGAAGAGAAUAGAGCUCCUGAGAAGUCUGUUGAGAAACCACACGAGAAGCCAGAAGCAAGGGCUAGUAAGGAUUAUUCUGGCUUCCGAGGCAAUACCAUUCCCAGGGGAGCAGCUGGAAAAAUCAGGGAACAGAGACGCCAGUUUAGCCAUAGGGCUAUACCUCAGGGAGUGACUCGACGUAAUGGCAAAGAGCAAUAUGUGCCGCCCAGAUCACCAAAGUAAAAAGAAAAAACAAAACAAAAACUAUUCAUACACUUCUCUCUCUUCCCAUUAAACCUGAGCUGUGGCUAUACUGAACUGUUUUGGAGGGGAGGGGUUAACCAGGAAGGAAGCAGGAAAAAGUAUGUCCUUAAGUGGUUAUGGAUUUUGGAGUUGUGAACAGUAGGAUCCCAAAAUUCAUCCCUAAUGUGAUUUUUAAGUGCUGGAGGAUUCCAAUCAGUAUAUAUAUAUAUUAUACACAUAUAUAAAAAGUAUAAUUUUUCUAUUUUUGUUUUUGAUUUUAAUUUGCAGAGAUUUUCUGCCUGGAAUCAAUUUUGAGGGUUCAGAUUUAGCUUGGGGGGAAAAAUACCUUAUACAUCCUUCAGUAUAGGAGAUGAGGGAGUGAGAGAAAAUAUUUUUUGAACAAGCAUUUCUGUAAAAUUAGAAAUUACUUUUUUUAAUCUAUUUAAAGUUUGGCUUGGAGAAUGCCAUCUCUGACUAUAUGGCCUUUUGUUGCAAAGCAGAUUGGUGGCUGGGGUGCCUGUUGUGGGUGUGAGUGUGUAGAAGAGCAAUUGAAGCUAAAUCUAUUGUUGUGUUAGUAAAUGAUUUGAAAACUGAAUGUAAUACUUGAGUAGUUUUUUUUUUCCUAGUUUGAAAUUUAGUCUGUCUUUUUGAUCUUACUAAUAUUUCAUUCAAGAAGUUAUUAAGCUCUGAUUGUACUUGGAGAUGUGACUACCAAUCAGUUUGAUACUCAAGGAAAGAAUAGAGAUUAUUUAAGAAAUUGAAAAAAAUUUCAUCUUAGACCUGAGUAGAUAGGUCAAAUGGACUUGAGAGGUUUAAACUACCCUGUGAUUUUUCCCCCCUAACAUGGGAAACAAAAGUUAUUUUUGUUAAUCUAUGUUACUCUGUUCUUUGCCCUCCCCCAAAAGCAAAAUAACCACCUACUGAAUUGUAUGUUUGUAACUGCUUUGACCAGUGUAGUUAAAUCAUACAAGUGUUCUAAAUUUCACAUUUGAACAUUGAAGUAUUUACUCUUCUGUUCAUAUAUUCAGAAUUUUAGGUCCCAGAGUGGUAGGGCAAACUGACCCUACAAUAAUUUAUUUGUGUUAGUGUUAAAGAUGAAACAUUGUAACUGACUCUUAAAGUGUUAUAGUGUAAAAGUAAAAAGAAACUUUUUUAAAAAGCUUAAUUUGUGGGGAACUUUUUUUCUGUUUACAAUGUAUUUAUCACCUUCCUUCCCCUCCCAUUCUUAAAAAAAAAAUGCAAUGUGGAUUUCACUGAAACAGAACCAGCAAGUCAGGAGAUUUUUAAGUUACGAUGAGGUAAGUGGUUGAAGAAAAUUAAUGCAAAAUUUCUCAGUGAAUAAAGUUGUAGCUCUCACAUAUUAAAUAGGCAAGUUUACAUGCUGGUAUUUGGGAAAUAGCUAAAAUAUUAAAAACCAUGUUGCAUUAAUCUGUUUUAAGUCAUACCAUGUUCAGAGUUCUAUGUAAGGUGGGUUUUAUUUUGCUUUUUAUGGAUAGUUUAUAGUAAGAACUGUCCCUUAUGUUAGUGAAUUACAUAUGUACAAAAUGAAACUGUAAAUUGUGAACACUGGAAAGCACCAUUGUGACAUAGAGUAAACAUCUUAGUAAUAUAUUAAAAUGAAUGUAAAUGGAGGUUAAAAUUACAUUACUGUGAAUGAAACUCAUCUUCCAACUCUAAGUUAAGCUUUGGAGAUUUGUAUUAGUGGGUAACUGUUAAGAGCUUUGAAAACACUGCACAUUUCUGUACAAGCCAGAAUUAUUAUUUGUAACUUAUUAUUCAGCUUGGCAAUUGCUUUUGAUUUGUUGGAUUUUAUAACAUGGUAUAACAUAUUUACUCAGUUUGAAACUAUUCAUUUCUACACACUAUUUUUUAAAUCACCUACUAGAUGGAACAUACAAUAAAACUAUCUGUGCUGAAAUUUGGGGGAAGUUUAGGUCCUUUUAAAAACAAGUAUUAAUAAUCAUUGACUACAUCUAUGAUAAAACUUCUUAUUUUGGUUUACUUAGAUAAUGCUGCAGUUGGUGGAAAUGAUAAAUGUUAAAUUGUUAGCAUCUGUGAAUGCAUUGGAUUUAAGAGAAUAAACAUUUUGUAAAAAU